CCUACGGGAGGCAGCAGUGAGGAAUAUUGGUCAAUGGGAGGAAUCCUGAACCAGCCAUGCCGCGUGCAGGAUGACGGCUCUACGAGUUGUAAACUGCUUUUGUACCGGGGUCAAAUGCUCUACGUGUAUGGUUUUGAAAGUACGGUACGAAUAAGGAUCGGCUAACUCCGUGCCAGCAGCCGCGGUAAUACGGAGGAUCCGAGCGUUAUCCGGAUUUAUUGGGUUUAAAGGGUGCGUAGGUGGUUUUAUAAGUUAGCGGUGAAAUACCGAUGCUCAACAUCGGGGGUGCCGCUGAUACUGUAGGACUAGAGAGCGGAUGCAGCAGGCGGAAUGUGUAGUGUAGCGGUGAAAUGCAUAGAUAUUACACAGAACACCGAUUGCGAAGGCAGCUUGCUAGGCCGGAUCUGACACUGAUGCACGAAAGCGUGGGGAUCGAACAGGAUUAGAUACCCGGGUAGUC
rnacentral:rRNA from 1 species